AGACAGAGGGUGCAAGCGUUGUUCGGAAUUAUUGGGCGUAAAGCGCGCGUAGGCGGUUUGAUAAGUCGUAUGUGAAAGCCCGGGGCUCAACCUCGGAAGUGCAUCCGAAACUGUCUGACUUGAAUCUCGGAGAGGGUGGCGGAAUUCCUGGUGUAGAGGUGAAAUUCGUAGAUAUCAGGAGGAACACCUGUGGCGAAGGCGGCCACCUGGACGAUGAUUGACGCUGAGGUGCGAAAGCGUGGGGAGCAAACAGGAUUAGAAACCCCGGUAGUCC
rnacentral:rRNA from 1 species